rnacentral:rRNA from 1 species
GACGAACGCUGGCGGCGUGCCUAAUACAUGCAAGUCGAACGCAGUGGGGACGGGUGAGUAACACGUGGGUAACCUCCCAUCAGAGGGGAUAACACUUGGAAACAGGUGCUAAACCGAUACAGAUUGAUGGACGCGCGGUGUAUUAGCUAGUUGGUGCGGUAACGGCUCACCAAGUCUACGAUGCCUAGCCGACCUGAGAGGGUGUGCGGCCACACUUGGACGGAGACAUGGCCCAAACUCCUACGGGAGGCAGCAGUAGGGAAUCUUCGGCAAUGGACGAAAGUCUGACCGAGCAACGCCGCGUGUGUGAAGAAGGUUUUCGGAUCGUAAAACUCUUUUGUUAGAGAAGCGGUAGCUAACGAGAAAGCCACGGCUAACUACGUGCCAGCAGCCGCGGUAAUUC